CCGCCCUCCGAGGCUGCAUCCGCGGAAGCCCGGCUCCCCGAGCGCUCCGGCCCGGCCCGGCGCCCCGGACCUGAGUGCGUCCCCAUGAAGGCGCCCGGGCUGGCCCAGGCGGCCGUGGCAGAGGAGACCCCGGACUGGGCGCCCGAGCUCUGCCCCAGCUCCGAGGCGCGGUCGCCGGAGCCGCCUGCCAACCGCCUUCAAGACUUCGACACGCUGGUCACCGUGGGAAAGCAACUAGAAGCCAUUUGUGUCAAGGUAACGUCUGGAGAAACAAAAGGUCAGGAAUGGCCAACGUCCCUACUGGCCACAGUCCAGCCCCAAUCUGCAAGACAGAGCCAGCCGCCCCGGGGGAAUUCCCGCCUGGUGGGACUCCACGUCACCAGCCCCCAGCUGCUCAGGGUACAGCCCCUCGUGAGAACCGAGCCACAGUCAUGUUUCCUACAUCAGCCUCCUGCUCAGGGGUUUGUACAGAGACCACUGCCAGCCCUCUAGGUGGUCCCUGCAAAGAGAGUCCCAGCCCCCAAGGCUCCAAAUGGACAGGGCACCAUGUUGACCCCUUCGUCGGCCUCCAGUUUGCCGACUGUAACAUGUUUCAUCCAGUUCAGGACGUUUAUUUAUUUCCAACUUGCAUACAAAACAUACUGAGAAACUAAAACCAUCGUUAAAAGUGAAGACACGUUGAGACAGGUAUCUCGACCUGCCAAGUAUAAAGCUAAAGCUGAGUUCAUAAAAAGGGAUGAUUUGGCCGACGGUCAUCUGCCAGAUUCUGAUGAUGAUUCAGAAGUCAGUGUGGAAGAAGAUCAGAGGGAGAGGCAGGCGCUCUUUGACUUAUCAAGCUGCUCCCUGAGGCCCAAAAGCUUCAAGUGUCAGACUUGUAAAAAGUCAUAUAUAGGGAAGUGGGGACUGGCCCAGCAUUUUAAACUUAAUCCAGGCCAUGGCCAGCUGGACCCUGAGAUGGUGCUAUCUGAGAAAGCCAAUGGGAGCACCCUCCGGGGGUGCACAGAGGAAAGGACGCUCAGCCUGACCUUCCCGGGGCUGUCCGUGCCAGCGGCUCCGCGUGAGGGAGGGGCCCGCUCCUGCUUGGUGAGAGAGUCAGCACGCGGUGGCCUGCAGGGUUAUAGAGUGGAAAGUCCCACAAUCUUUUUCUUCUCUAUUUUCAGAAAAACGUUGACCUCUUGGCGAGAAUGCAAAGAAGGGAACGCUUGCUUAUACGCUGUUGGUGAACUGUCACCCCUACAACUCAGCUUGCAACCAGCCCUGGCCACCAGUUUCCCCACACUGAGCUGAAUAUCGGACAUGCCCAUCUCAGACAUUCCAGCCCAUUCUGAAAUUCCACAUCGAUUCACCUGACAAAGUCUGAAGUUCCAGGGCAAUUUAUCUGGAAAAGCUUACCUGGAAUCACGUGUCAUUUCAACCAACAACUGUUGAAGAGGACGUGGCAUUAAAACCAAGGGUAUCAAUUAUUUAUAA
ensembl:lncRNA novel transcript